rnacentral:rRNA from 1 species
UACGGGGGGGGCAAGCGUUGUUCGGAAUUACUGGGCGUAAAGGGCUCGUAGGUGGCCAACUAAGUCAGACGUGAAAUCCCUCGGCUUAACCGAGGAACUGCGUCUGAUACUGGAUGGCUUGAGUUUGGGAGAGGAAUGCGGAAUUCCAGGUGUAGCGGUGAAAUGCGUAGAUAUCUGGAGGAACACCGGUGGCGAAGGCGGCAUCCUGGACCAACACUGACACUGAGGAGCGAAAGCCAGGGGAGCAAACGGG